rnacentral:rRNA from 1 species
ACGGGUGCGGAACACGUACGCAACCUUCCUUCAAGCGAGGCAUAGCCCAGAGAAAUUUGGAUUAAUACCUCAUAGGAAUGUAGUCUCGCAUGAGACAGCAUUUAAAGAUUUAUCACUUGAAGAUGGGCGUGCGUCUGAUUAGGUAGUUGGUGAGGUAACGGCUCACCAAGCCGACGAUCAGUAACUGGCGUGAGAGCGCGACCAGUCACACGGGCACUGAGACACGGGCCCGACUCCUACGGGAGGCAGCAGUAAGGAAUAUUGGUCAAUGGACGCAAGUCUGAACCAGCCAUGCCGCGUGGAGGAUGAAGGCCCUCUGGGUUGUAAACUUCUUUUAUUUGGGACGAAACACUUCUUUUCUAAGGAGCUUGACGGUACCAGAUGAAUAAGCACCGGCUAACUCCGUGCCAGCAGCCGCGGUAAUACGGAGGGUGCAAGCGUUAUCCGGAUUCACUGGGUUUAAAGGGUGCGUAGGCGGACUUGUAAGUCCGUGGUGAAAUCUCCGAGCUUAACUCGGAAACUGCCAUGGAUACUAUAGGUCUUGAAUGUUGUGGAGGUUAGCGGAAUAGUUCAUGUAGCGGUGA